rnacentral:rRNA from 1 species
CGACCGGCGCACGGGGUGAGUAACACGGUAUCCAACCUACCGGUUAUUCCGGGAUAGCCUUUCGAAAGAAAGAUUAAUACCGGAUAGUAUAACGAGAAGGCAUCUUCUUGUUAUUAAAGAAUUUCGAUAACCGAUGGGGAUGCGUUCCAUUAGUUUGUUGGCGGGGUAACGGCCCACCAAGACAUCGAUGGAUAGGGGUUCUGAGAGGAAGGUCCCCCACAUUGGAACUGAGACACGGUCCAAACUCCUACGGGAGGCAGCAGUGAGGAAUAUUGGUCAAUGGACGAGAGUCUGAACCAGCCAAGUAGCGUGAAGGAUGACUGCCCUAUGGGUUGUAAACUUCUUUUAUAUGGGAAUAAAGUGAGCCACGUGUGGCUUUUUGUAUGUACCAUACGAAUAAGGAUCGGCUAACUCCGUGCCAGCAGCCGCGGUAAUACGGAGGAUCCGAGCGUUAUCCGGAUUUAUUGGGUUUAAAGGGAGCGUAGGCGGACUAUUAAGUCAGCUGUGAAAGUUUGCGGCUCAACCGUAAAAUUGCAGUUGAUACUGGUCGUCUUGAGUGCAGUAGAGGUAGGCGGAAUUCGUGGUGUAGCGGUGAAAUGCUUAGAUAUCACGAAGAACUCCGAUUGCGAAGGCAGCUUACUGGACUGUAACUGACGCUGAUGCUCGAAAGUGUGGGUAUCAAACAGGAUUAGAUACCCUGGUAGUCCACACAGUAAACGAUGAAUACUCGCUGUUUGCGAUAUACGGCAAGCGGCCAAGCGAAAGCAUUAAGUAUUCCACCUGGGGAGUAC